AAAACCCACGAAACCAACACGCGAAAAAAUAAUUCACUAAGAGAAAAGAUUACAAGGUGAUUACCGACUCCACGGACUCAACCUCUCUUAACCUCCCAUGAAUCUCCCGCAAUCCUCCGGGUUGUCCACGCCCUCACGUUCGAAUCCACAAACGCCUCGCACACGUCCGAAUCAACGACGCCACUAGAAUCCACGAGCCCACGAUCCGAAUCCACGAACCACCGUCAAUCACGCCGAAUCCACGACGCCAUCAUGAAGAACAUCAUGUAUAUGAUGAUCCUUCGCUUAAAGUAUUGAUGAAAACCAGAGAAGGAAACUCCAAGCGAAGCGGAGAUCAAAUCGACAUAUAGAUAUGAAAUUUCAAUAUCUCGAUUUGACCUAAAAGAGGCUAAUAUGUAGAAAAUAGGUUUUAGAUGAAAUCCGAGCCUCUAGGGUUUCUCAAACAUGUAUUUCCGUGAUGCUUAAUAAGUUAGAGAACCCCAACAGCUUAUUUAUAGACUUUAGAAUCAAUUGGAGUCGGAUUAGAAAGUUUUCACGAUUUUACACAGUGUACCGGUACACGAAAGGCUGUCACCGGUUACACAAUGACGGAACGAAAAAUUUGUGAAGCCAAAGUUGAUGGCUGUACCGGUACGGGGCAAUUGCUGUACCGGUACACAGUGCAAUUUUCACAUUUUGCACUGUUUCGGGUUCCGCAGAGUUCCGAAGCACUUUCUAAUCAGCUAAAUAUUAAUAAUAAUGAUUCUAACGCCUAUAACUAAGUAUGAAUCACCAUAACAUGAAUUAACACAUUACCUUUACGUCGUGAUCCACAUUGUGAGUUACUUUCCAAAAUCUUCGAAAUCUUGAAUUCUUCAAUCUUCGACGACACUCACCGAUUCUUCAAGAUUCUGACUCGCUUCACGAAACUUGCCAACACACAAGACUUAACAAUCUUCCCCUUUGGCAAUUUCAUGACAAAACUCACACAAACUCAAAAAUUACAUCUUAAAGAAAAAAAAUGAAGUUCAAUUGUUAUCACCAGAACAUUGAACUCCUCGCAUGUGAUCCAAAUACAAUUCGAAACUCAAAAGUACAUCAUAAACUCCUAAAACAGACUCUAUGACUUAGACACAACUAGAAGUCUUGAAGUCUUGAAGUCCUGCAAAACAGAUCAAUCAAAAAGAUAUAGAAAUCUUACAUUCAAUUCAAUGUUCUCUCAACAUUCUUAUUGUACUCGAUCCUUCUCCCCCUUUGUUCAUCAUCCUCUCCAUUGCUCUGCUUUGAUCAAUACCUGUUCUUCUUAUGAUCUCCCCCUUUUUGUCAAAAAUUGCCAAAAGAAAGCAUAUAGAUAGGAAAUACACUAAGAAGAAAAAGAGUAGCCAAGUCAUAGUUACAAGCCUAGAGCAAAAAAGAAAAAACAUGCCAAAAAAAGAUAAGCAAGAAAAACUAAACUAAAACAUCAUCCUAAACAGCAAAUACAGUGAAAUAGGAAGACUAAGCUCGACGAAGAAAUCACUCUGUGUCCUCGUCAUCAUCAUCAUCAGCUCCAGCGCCAGCUCGAGAACCUCCCGCAUCUGAAGCUCCAGUAGAUGGAGGAAUAAGAGGAUGUCGCGAAGUAGACCUCGUAUAGACAGGCUGAGUAGGAAAAAUAUCAUCAUGCCUGCAUCCCAACUUGUCCAUCAUCCUCUUCAUACCCACUUCUACCUUCCUAGCAAGAUCUGCCACUUUCUUCUUCAAAGAUCGUACUUCAUGGCGAAGUGAUUCCCCCCCUGAACUAGAAGAUCCCUCACGCUCUGCACGUGGUGGAGGUGCCUGGCUAGGAGCUGCUUGCGAUGGUCCUUUUGUUUGCUGAAAAGUCUUUAGAGUGCUGACUGACUUGGCCCAGGUAACAGCAUCGAUUGGACCAAGACCAAAAUCAUACUUAUACUUCUCACAAGAAACAUCCACUCCAUUGUCCUGCAGAAUCCUCGUGAUCAAAAGAGGAAAUGGAAGUAGAUCCCGUCGAGCAGAAGCCUGAAUGACAUGAAUCAUCCGCUGCCACAUCAGAAAAGGAAUGUUAAUAUUCAAUCCAUAAGCUUGCUCCGGGUGACCAAGUAAAAACAGUAGAAGCAAACGAUCCCAACGAAUUCGCUUUGUCCCAAUCGUUGGUUGCACAUUGUAGCUCAAGACCAAGGACAGUAGAUGAUACUCUGGUCGCAAAUCCUUGGACUCUACAUAAGAACGAUUAGUUUGCACUCCAGCUUUGCAGAUAGAUGCUACAACUGUAUCCCGGUGAGAUGAUGACUGAAAUCCUCCUGAUGUAUAAAGAAGGCCCGUAGUAUCCACAUUCAUCCCUAAAAGCUCUCCAAUAGUAUAUGGGGUAACGGCAAUCUUCUGUUGACGCACGAAUGUCUCAAAAAGAAAUGUCCUGGUCUCCUCAUCUUCUGCAAGUACUUUUCCGUUCAUAUAGAACUCACGAAUGAGUUCCACACAAAAAGGAGCUCGAGCAGGAACCCUACCAACUGGCUUAAUAGGAACCCGCUGAAGCAACCGCCCAAAGUCAGGAACGUCAUGUAUAAGAUUAUUGAAGUUGACAUAACGCUUUGCAAUACAAAAUUUGCUCAUGAACAUCCUCCGUCGCUCUGGGGAAAUAUCCGCGGCAUGCUUCGUUCGAGUUUCUCUUGCACGAGAACCACCGCCACGCGAGGAUUCGCCAGCUAUACCUUUGCCCUUGUCAAGACGAGCAAUAGGUUCUUCAGCCUCUUUCGGGGAGCUUGCCUGAUAAUCCGGAUCAUACCCGGACGCUUCUUCAGUUGUACGUGUCCUUUUAGAGUCCCCACGACGACCUCUACCACCACCUCCGCCACGACUACGACCGCUUCCAGCGGCCAUCAGCACCAAAAUCAUCAACAUAAGCGAAAACGCCAUUUUUCCUAUACAAAAAUUAACCUUGCAUGAACAAAAUCUUGAAAAAAUUUGUAAAAAUAAUGAAAAAAAUUCUAAUAACAUUAGAAUGCAUACUAAUGCAAUUUCUAACCAGAUUAUGCAAAAAAUUUUCAUCAAAAAUGACAUUUUAUCAAAAAUUCCGAAAUUACAUGCAAAAUCAAGCUUAAAAUAUAGAUCAGCGAAAAAUAAUGUGUUUUGAUAUGAUUCAAGUGUUCUAGAAGCAAGAUAAUGUCCUUAAACACUGAUCUACAGCAAAAAAUUGCAGCAAAAAUGAUCAAAAACAAAGAUCUGAGCAUGAACUCGAAAUUUUUCGAAAAAUAUGUAAAAACGAGAUGAAAUCAUGAAAUCCCAACAAAAAACUUACAAAUUCGGGGGAAAAUAUCAUGGAUCUGGAGGAGAAGGAUCUCAAGAACUCGUAGAAUCAAAGAGAGAGAGAUUUGGUUUUGAAUUGAGGAAGAAAUAAAACCCUAUAUCCGGUUAUAUAAGCCGCUGCUACAGUACUCGUACCGGUACGGGUUCGUGUACCGGUACACAAACUCAUAUUUCGAAAAAUUGACUUUAAAAAUUCAUCAAAUUAAAUUAAUUUCAUAUAAAUUAAGAAUUUUACUCCAAAAAUUAUUAAAAUAAAAAUAAAAUAUUAUAAAAUUUUAAAAUGCAUCGAAACAUCAAAAUUUCAUUAUCAAAAAAUGAUCUCCAGUUUCAAAAUCAUCAAGAUGUAACGGUUCACAAAAAAUGAUAUUUAAAAAUUCAGCAAAAUUGACACCAAUUUGCUGCAAUUCGUUCAAAAUAGAGAUUUAACUAAUAUGAUACCGGGGGUAGCUCUUUGAGCAUCUUUUAUUAAACUAACACCUUAUAACUCCGAAAAUUCUAAAAUAUUCAUUUUUUUCAACCUUUUCGGCUUUUCAAUUAAUCUCCAUGUGAUAGCUUCACACACUUGCCGGACGACCGGGGUGGUAGCUACAUGUGGUGGUAGUUUUCACACUCCUUUUAGGAUGUAACUCUUUCCACAUCUUUUAAACAUAGGAGUUUUUCCUUUUCUUUUUUUUAAAAUAAUUUUAAACUCCCCCUAAAUUAGACAAUCUCACAAUUGAAAAUAUUUUAACAAAUUUUAGUUUAUUAGCGAAUAUCCAUCUAUCAUAUUCAACACACACAACCGAGAUAGAUUAAUCACCAAGAGAUCAAAUUUGAUUUCAAAAUUUUGAUGAAUAUAUGUAUUAAGAAAUCAUAUAUUAAAUUAUCGUCAAAAUAAUAAAAAGUGGAGCAAAAACGAUAAUUAAUAUGAAUUUAACUUAAUAUGAUUGUGAAGUUAAAUACCGUUUACGCGACUUUUAGAAAAAUUUCUCUCCUCAAAAUAAUGAUUCUCAAUCAUCUCCUUUCUCAAAAAAAAAAAUUUGGAUUCCUAAACACCUUUCCUCAAAAUAAUUUUUUAAACAACCAAAAUUCAAAGCACCAAAAAAAAAAAUCAUUUAAACAUGUAAUGCAAUGAAUAAAAAUAUGCAAUAAGCACCUAUCAAAGCAUUACACUAAAAAUCAAAAAUGACUAAGACGAGGAGCAAGGAAAGAUAUCACCUUUCCGGAUCCAAACUUGUCGGAUUUUGCGUUGUCUUGUCUUGUCGACGUUAGGCACAAUUUGCUUUGGUUUUUGAUCAACAGUUGGUCGUUUCUUUGCAUGAGGUUUUGGUUGGACUUGAUUUUGUGCUUUGGAAAAACCAUUCCCUCGAGGCACUCGACUCAAUUGAUUUUUCUUUUGAUUCUGUGGGGGAUGUCGAGUUGUAGAUGAUGUCGAUUGAGGUUUAGAGAGUGUCGAUCGAAGUGUAGACAUUGCCAAUUGAUUCAUCUUUCCUUUAUUUGGGCAAUUCCUUUUGAUGUGUCCUUUGAUGCCACAAUUAUGACACACCUUGCCAUUUAAAGUUGUUGAGACUUUAGAAGUUGAUUUUGAAUCCUUCUCAACGUAUGUUCUUUUAUAUCCGAGUCCAAGCUUGUUCGUUUGACCCAAUCCGAGCAUAUGAUCUAGUUUCUUUGAUCCGGAUGAAAAUUGUUGAAUGUCGGAUUGAAGUUGACGAACUUGAUUAGUCAAAGCUUGAUUGGAUACACAUGUUUCCUUGAAUUGUUGCUCCAAAAAUCCAAUCUUAUCUUGAGAUGAUUUGAUCAUUGAAUCCGCUUCAUUUAGCUUCUUUUGGAGAUCCAAAUUAUCUUUUAAAUUUGCUUCCCUUUCCUCCUCGAGAGCCUUAUUCAAAGUCUUUAAGUUGUCAUUUUCCUCCUCAAUGCCUAAUAGACGUCACCUCAACUUCUUAUUAUGUUUGGCCAUUUUCUUCGACUCAAUAAGAAGUUGAUUGUACGCUUCCGCUAUGUCGUCAUCAUUUGAUUCCUCCUCACUUUCGCCAUUGUCGCUCGAAGAAUCAUGCAAAGAAAGAGAAAUAUUGGAAUUAGUAGCAAUAGAGGAUAAACAAACAAUGUUAGACGAAGGUAGAGAAGUGUUAGUAAAUAAAGCAAUGUGAUCACUCUUUUCUUCGUCACUUGAAGAUGAUUCACUAGAAGAAGUGUCAUCUCAAGUUUUUGCUUGCAAAGCCUUUUGCUUAUAAGUCUUCUUUGAAGGACAAUCCGUUGCAAUAUGACCAUAGCCUUUGCAUUUGUAACAUUAGAUUUCUCUUUCAAAUUCAUCCUUUUCUUUUGAAAACUUUGCAAGUUUUUUAUCCUUAGACUUUGACGAUGAAGAUGAUUUAGAAAAAGAUUUUUGCUUAGAAGAUGAAGCCUUGUCCGAUCUAUUUUUCCGAAAAUUCUGUCGGAACUUUUUCGUUAGGAGAGCUAAUUGAUGUUCAAAGUCGGCGAGCGAAACAUCUUCGUCGGAAUCCGGAUCGUCUUCUUCUUUCUUUGUUGAUUUGAGUGCAACCCCUGUGCUUUUAGAAAAAGACUUGGAAGAAGAUUGAUUAGUAGGAAAAGUCAUCUCACAAGUUUGCAUAGCACCUACUAGCUCUUCGACUUUCAUCUCGUCCGGAUGCUUAACCGUUUCGAUUGCGGCAACCUUUGCCCGAAAGCGUUCCGGAAGAGUUCGAAGAAUCUUUCUAACAACUUUAGCAUCUGGAAUUUUCUCUCCUAAGUUAGCGCAUGUAUUGACUACGUCUUGUAGACGCGUGUAGUACUCGGUAAAGGUCUCGUUUUCAUCCAUAGAAAUAGAAUCAAACUUGCUUGUUAGCAUUUGUAAUUUUUGGACCUUUACUAAGCUCGUUCCUUCAUGCGUAACUUGUAGAGUAUCCCAAAUUUUCUUUGCCGUUUCGCAUGCCGAAACACGAGUAAACUCCGUUUGCGAUAAAGCAUUGAAUAAAGCGUUAAUUCCUUUACCGUUAAACGAAGAUGCCUCGUUUUCAUCUUUCGUCCACUUGUUUCGUGGUUUAGGCGUUUCAACAUUCUCGACUUUUUCAAUAGGAUGUUUCCAUCCAAAUUCUAUUGAUUGCCAAACGCGCUCAUCGAUUGCAAUUAGAAAAGCUCUCAUGCGAACCUUCCAAUAGGCAUAAUUUGUGCCGUCGAAGAGCGGUGGUCGAUUAAUGUUUCCGCCUUCGGCCAUUAGAUAACAAUAUAUCUAGAUCCCGCUCUGAUACCAAUUGAAAGUUUUGGGGUGCCCAAGGAUCUAUCUAGAUUGUAUCUAAACACCUAGAGGGGGGUGAAUAGGUGUAAUAGCCAAAAACUACAAAUCUCAAUGCGAUAAAAAUAAUGCGAAAAAUAAAAAUCACACCGAGAUUUACGUGGAAAAACUCCAACUUGGAGAAAAACCCACGGGACCAACACGCGAAAAAAUAAUUCACUAAGAGAAAAGAUUACAAGGUGAUUACCGACUCCACGGACUCAACCUCUCUUAACCUCCUACGAAUCUCGCGCAAUCCUCCGGGUUGUCCACGCCCUCACGUUCUAAUCCACGAAUGCCUCGCACACGUCCGAAUCCACGAACGCCACUCGAAUCCACGAGCCCACGAUCCGAAUCCACGAACCGCCGUCAAUUACGCCGAAUCCACGACGCCAUCAUGAAGAACAUCAUGUAUAUGAUGAUCCUUCGCUUAGAGUAUUGAUGAAAAGCAGGGAAGAAAACUCCAAGCGAAGCGGAGAUCAAAUCGACAUAUAGAUAUGAAAUUUCAAUAUCUCGAUUUGACCUAAAAGAGGCUAGUAUGUAGAAAAUAGGUUUUAGAUGAAAUCCGAGCCUCUAGGGUUUCUCAAACAUGUAUUUUUGUGAUGCUUAAUAAGUUAGAGAAUCCCAACAGCUUAUUUAUAGACUUUAGAAUCAAUUGGAGUCGGAUUAGAAAGUUUUCACGAUUUUACACAGUGUAUCGGUACACGAAAGGCUGUCACCGGUUACACAAUGACGGAAGGAAAAAUUUGUGAAGCCAAAGUUGAUGGCUGUACCGGUACGGGGCAAUUGCUGUACCGGUACACGGUGCAAUUUUCACAUUUUGCACUGUUUCAGGUUCCGCAGAGUUCCGAAGCACUUUCUAAUCAGCUAAACAUUAAUAAUAAUGAUUCUAACGCCUAUAACUAAGUAUGAAUCACCAUAACAUGAAUUAACACAUUACCUUUAUGUCGUGAUCCACAUUGUGAGUUACUUUCCAAAAUCUUCGAAAUCUUGAAUUCUUCAAUCUUCGACGACACUCACCGAUUCUUCAAGACUCCGACUCGCUUCACGGAACUUGCUAACACACAAGACUUACUAGGAUCCGCGCAACUUGCGCCAAGGUGAUCGGACUGUAGCCGAGUACGAGCGGGAGUUUUCUCGGCUUCUUCACUGCGUGCCUUUCGUCGUACGGGACAACGAGGAUAAGGCCCGCAUCUUCGAGCGAGGAUUGCGACCGUCGAUCUUCCGGUUUGCGCAAUCCUCUAACCUCCAAACCUACCGGGAGGUGGUGGAUCGCACGCUCAUCGUGGAGAGCGACGCGGCAGACGUCCAGGAGCGGCGAGAGGCGAUGGACAAUGGUGAAAGUUUUGGGGUGCCCAAGGAUCUAUCUAGAUUGUAUCUCGCACCUAGAAGGGGGUGAAUAGGUGUAAUAGCCAAAAACCACAAAUCUCAAUGCGAUAAAAAUAAAUACGAAAAAUAAAAAACACAUCGAGACUUACGUGGGAAACUCCAACUUGGAGAAAAAUCCACGGGACCAACACACGAAAAAAUAAUUCACUAAGAGAAAAGAUUACAAGGUGAUUACCGACUCCACGGACGCAACCUCUCUUAACCUCCUAUGAAUCUCGCGCAAUCCUCCGGGUUGUCCACGCCCUCACGUUCGAAUCCACGAACGCCUCACACAUGUCCGAAUCGACGAACGCCACUCGAAUCCACGAGCCCACGAUCCGAAUCCUCGAACCGCCGUCAAUCACGCCGAAUCCACGACGCCAUCAUGAAGAACAUCAUGUAUA
rnacentral:lncRNA from 1 species